rnacentral:rRNA from 1 species
CACGUAGGCACCAAGCGUUGUCCGGAUUUAUUGGGCGUAAAGAGCUCGUAGGCGGUUCGGUAAGUCGGGUGUGAAAACUCUGGGCUCAACCCAGAGCCGCCACCCGAUACUGCUGUGACUUGAGUGCGGUAGGGGAGCGGGGAAUUCCUGGUGUAGCGGUGGAAUGCGCAGAUAUCAGGAAGAACACCCGUGGCGAAGGCGGCUCUCUGGGACGGUACUGACGCUGAGACGCGAAAGCGUGGGGAGCGAACAGG